GACGAACGCUGGCGGCGUGCUUAACACAUGCAAGUCGAACGAUGAACCGGGUGCUUGCACCUGGGGAUUAGUGGCGAACGAGUGAGUAACACGUGAGUAACCUGCCCUGGACUCUGGGAUAACCCCGAGAAAUCGGAGCUAAUACCGGAUAGGACCUUUCCUCGCAUGAGGUUUGGUGGAAAGUUUUUCGGUCUGGGAUGGACUCGCGGCCUAUCAGCUUGUUGGUGAGGUAAUGGCUCACCAAGGCGUCGACGGGUAGCCGGCCUGAGAGGGUGACCGGCCAAACUGGGACUGAGACACGGCCCAGACUCCUACGGGAGGCAGCAGUGGGGAAUAUUGCACAAUGGGCGCAAGCCUGAUGCAGCAACGCCGCGUGCGGGAUGACGGCCUUCGGGUUGUAAACCGCUUUUAGUAGGGAAGAAGGGCUUCGGCUUGACGGUACCUGCAGAAAAAGGACCGGCUAACUACGUGCCAGCAGCCGCCGUAAUAC
rnacentral:rRNA from 1 species